rnacentral:rRNA from 1 species
GUCCGCACCGUAAACGAUGAUUACUCGUUGUUGGCAAUAUGACCGUCAGCGACCAAGCGAAAGCGAUAAGUAAUCCACCUGGGGAGUACGCCGGCAACGGUGAAACUCAAAGGAAUUGACGGGGCCCGCACAAGCGGAGGAGCAUGUGGUUUAAUUCGAUGAUACGCGAGGAACCUUACCUGGGCUUGAAAGUUAGCGACCGGUCCUGAAAGGGAUCUUCCCCGCAAGGGGCGCGAAACUAGGUGCUGCAUGGCUGUCGU